UCUCCCCUCAUAAUGCUUUUGAGUAUUUGGUGUGAUUAUCUUAAAACCACACCCGAUUCGCGUGCGUGGGUCUGUUUCCUGAUCAGUUUUGUAAAACGCGGAAAUCCACUGACUUCCAUGGGCAAUUCGCAAGGGGAAAAGGGGGAAGUUCAAUCAGAUGUGUUAAUUACCUCCAAGACUGAAUAAUACGCACAUAACAGAGACUGGAAAAUAGUGGGCAGACAUGUCCCAAGAUGGGGGGUGUUACACUUGGAUAUGGACGUGUUUUUUUGAGUACUCGACACCAAAAAUACUGCUGAUCCGAAGCAGGAAAGUAGGAGCGAUCAACCGAUUUAUUCAGGCUGUAAUCAUUGGAUACGUGAUCGGGUAUGUAUGUGUGCUGAAGAAAGGCUACCAGGAGACUGACACUGUUUUGAGCUCUGUCACCACCAAGGUCAAGGGCAUUGCACUGACAAACACCACAGCAAUGGGUCUGCGUGUUUGGGACGUGGCUGACUACGUCAUCCCCCCUCAGGUACCAACUAAACCCGAGAAGGAGGAAGAGAGUUCCUUCUUCGUCAUGACCAACAUGAUCAUCACCCCAGGUCAAAAUCAGAGUCACUGUCCUGAGAUCCCCAGUGCAACAGCUAAUUGCUCAUCAGAUGGCGACUGCAUGGCGGGGUUCAGCGACACACGCGGGAAUGGUGUGCAGACGGGGAGGUGUGUGAACUACUCAGCCUCAGCCAAGACCUGUGAGGUUUUGGCCUGGUGUCCAUUGGAAGAAGAUGUAGACCCACCAGAACCGCCAAUCUUGGCAGCAGCCGAAAACUUCACCGUUCUGAUUAAAAAUCACAUCCGAUAUCCCAAAUUCAACUUUAGCAGAAGGAACAUCCUGCCCCAUAUCAACAGCACCUACCUGACAAACUGUGUAUUCAGUCGCACCACCGACCCAGACUGCCCCAUCUUCAGGCUCAGGGACAUCGUCUCCGAGGCCCAAGAAGAUUUUCAGGACAUGGCUGUAAAUGGUGGGGUGAUGGGCAUCCAGAUUAGGUGGGACUGUGACCUGGACAUGCCAGAGAGCUGGUGCGUUCCUAAAUACACCUUCCGACGCCUGGACAACAAGGACCCAGAGAACACUGUGGCACCUGGGUACAGUUUCCGAUUUGCAAAGUAUUACAGUGACGGCGAAGUCGAAACCAGGACACUAAUCAAAGCAUUUGGCAUUCGGUUCGACGUUAUGGUAUUUGGCAAGGCGGGCAAAUUCAACAUUGUACCAAUGCUGCUAAAUGUUGGCGCGGGACUUGCCCUCAUGGGUCUGUUUAUUUAAAGGUUACAGUUGUAUGUGAUUGGAUAGUAUUGACUUUCAUGAAGAAGAAGAACAUAUACAAGGAACAGAAAUACUCAUAUGUGGAUGACUUUGAGUUGCUUUCUGAAGAAAUUCCCUAAGGACCUUGGGUACCAUCCUGCUGGAGAUGGACGUGGCAGAUGGACGAUAAGAGCAAAUAAAGGUGCUGACUCAGCAUUCUGGGAAGUAACUGCAACUCAGAUUCAAUAGCCCAUGAACUGUAUUUUUUUUUUUUUUUAAUACUGUUUAAAUCAGGUUAACUUGUAUAAAUAUUAUCUGCGUAUGUUAAUGAAACAAUAAACCAGGUGAUUAAAUGCAGCAAAUGAGAUGUAGUCAAAUGACAGUAUGCUACAGUGGUAAAUCUAUGUUUAUAUUUUGAUACCAAUGUUGAUAACAGAUAUAUAUGUAUGUGUGUCUAAGGCUGAUCUCACCUAUUGCAAUUCAGUGUUUAAUUUAUGCAUUUAACGAAAUGUAUAGAAGGAGCAGGAUUUAAUAUUACAUGAGUUCUUACCCCCCCCCCCAUUCAUUCCAAUUUGGGCUCCUGCUACAAAUAAUAGCAAUAAUUAAUAAUUUUCCAGAAUUAAUAUAAUGUCACAGUAAAACAGACUGGGUCCAAUGUAUUCCGUCAGGCUGCUGCAAAAAAUGCAUUGAAAUUGCAAAGAGCUCACCCUACCCGUACUGCUUAAAGGCAACUGUACUUUAUUCAAAUUAUCAACCAGAUACAAUAUGUAUAGAUUAGUAAAGUAUCAGAUCAUUGGCAAAUCCUUCAUUCACCACAGGAGAGGAAAAAAAAAAAAAAAAACAUGCGUUUGUAAAUAUGG